GCCCUGAGCCCCGCGCCCGGCCAGCCUAGCCAAGAUUAUACAUCUGGAUAAUAAAUACAUUUGUCUUGGACUGAACCAGGGCAGGAUACGAAUGAAGGAAAACAAAGAAGGACGCUACAAUACCUAGAUUUUUCCAGGUGUGAUCAGAUGGCUAAGCAAAGAGUCCAAGCUUCUCCUUAGAGGCAUUUAUAAACCAAAGAACUUUUUUUAAAAAGAAAAAGAAAAAGACUUAAGUCAAAGAGUAAGGUUGUACUUCCAAUACACCCAACUUUGCAUUUUUUUUUUCUAUUUAUGAGAUGCAAAGAACAUGUGGCACCUGCAGGUGUGAAACCAUUUAAAUUAUUUGUAAUAUCUAUAUUUGUAUUUAUUUUGAUAAACUUUUGUCUUAAAUUGCUUUUAGCAUUUAAAUAUGUCCAUUCCAAAUAAAAUGGCUUUUUUUUACUGUA